rnacentral:rRNA from 1 species
UACGAGAGGUCCAAACGUUAUUCGGAAUCACUGGGCUUACAGAGUUCGUAGGCGGUCCAGAAAGUGGGGUGUGAAAGCCCUCGGCUCAACCCGGGAACUGCGUCCGAUACUGGUGGGCUCGAAUCCGGGAGAGGGAUGCGGAAUUCCAGGUGUAGCGGUGAAAUGCGUAGAUAUCUGGAGGAACACCGGUGGCGAAGGCGGCAUCCUGGACCGGUAUUGACGCUGAGGCGCGAAAGCCAGGGGAGCAAACGGG